rnacentral:rRNA from 1 species
AACGAACGCUGGCGGCAGGCCUAACACAUGAAAGUCGAACGAAGUCUUCGGACUUAGUGGCGCACGGGUGAGUAACACGUGGGAAUAUACCUUACGCUGGGGGAUAACAUCGGGAAACUGAUGCUAAUACCGCAUACGCCCUUCGGGGGAAAGAUUUAUCGGCGAAAGAUUAGCCCGCGUCCGAUUAGCUAGUUGGUGAGGUAAUGGCUCACCAAGGCUCCGAUCGGUAGCUGGUCUGAGAGGAUGACCAGCCACACUGGGACUGAGACACGGCCCAGACUCCUACGGGAGGCAGCAGUGGGGAAUAUUGGACAAUGGGCGCAAGCCUGAUCCAGCCAUGCCGCGUGAGUGAUGAAGGCCUUAGGGUUGUAAAGCUCUUUCACCCACGACGAUGAUGACGGUAGUGGGAGAAGAAGCCCCGGCUAACUUCGUG